UUUGAUCGAUGAUGAUCAUCCGAUGAUAAUUCAUUUGAUUUUUUUCUAUUUGAACUUUAGACUUGUUGAUGAUUAGAUGGGUUUUUCUUGCUCAUUGUUCAUGAAUUUUUGUUUUUUUAUUUGUUUUUUAUUUUUAAUUUUAUGAAUGUGAGAGAUUAUUGUGUGAAGUGUGUGUGUGUGUGUGUGUGCGUUGCGAUGUAAUUGUCGAUUUGUUUCACUUUUAAUUCGUUUAGAAUGAAGGGUAAGUGCUGUCGGUUGGCAAAUUUUGCUCUCUUCAUCUCUCGGGCCUCAAUUAUAAAAACAAAACAAGAGCCAUGAAAAAUAAAUUGAGACUUUGACCCGAAUUCAGUUUGUUUUUUUUUCCUGGUGACACCAUUUUUUUUUUUUUUUUGUUUUCGUCAUUUUUUAGAUUAAUGUGUUGAUUAUUAUUGUUGUGGUUAUAUAUCCAACAUGUUGUCAUCAUGUAGUCGUUUAUGCUGUUGUCGUAAAUCGUUGAUCAUCAAAAAUCGAAGCCAAUUUAUGUGAUUAAACUUUUUUUUUUCGCUGUCAUCAUAAUAAUUUUU